rnacentral:rRNA from 1 species
UACGUAGGUGGCAAGCGUUGUCCGGAAUUAUUGGGCGUAAAGCGCGCGCAGGCGGUCCUUUAAGUCUGAUGUGAAAGCCCACGGCUCAACCGUGGAGGGUCAUUGGAAACUGGGGGACUUGAGUGCAGGAGAGAAGAGUGGAAUUCCACGUGUAGCGGUGAAAUGCGUAGAGAUGUGGAGGAGCACCAGUGGCGAAGGCGACUCUUUGGCCUGUGACUGACGCUGAGGCGCGAAAGCGUGGGGAGCAAACAGG